UCAAGGAAUAGUUUAAAUGAGAAUCCUAGCUUUGGGAGUUAGGGGUGGGAGUUAAAAUCUUCUUUCUUUGAGC
rnacentral:tRNA from 1 species